UGCAAGUCGAACGAACUCUGGUAUUGAUUGGUGCUUGCAUCAUGAUUUACAUUUGAGUGAGUGGCGAACUGGUGAGUAACACGUGGGAAACCUGCCCAGAAGCGGGGGAUAACACCUGGAAACAGAUGCUAAUACCGCAUAACAACUUGGACCGCAUGGUCCGAGCUUGAAAGAUGGCUUCGGCUAUCACUUUUGGAUGGUCCCGCGGCGUAUUAGCUAGAUGGUGGGGUAACGGCUCACCAUGGCAAUGAUACGUAGCCGACCUGAGAGGGUAAUCGGCCACAUUGGGACUGAGACACGGCCCAAACUCCUACGGGAGGCAGCAGUAGGGAAUCUUCCACAAUGGACGAAAGUCUGAUGGAGCAACGCCGCGUGAGUGAAGAAGGGUUUCGGCUCGUAAAACUCUGUUGUUAAAGAAGAACAUAUCUGAGAGUAACUGUUCAGGUAUUGACGGUAUUUAACCAGAAAGCCACGGCUAACUACGUGCCAGCAGCCGCGGUAAUACGUAGGUGGCAAGCGUUGUCCGGAUUUAUUGGGCGUAAAGCGAGCGCAGGCGGUUUUUUAAGUCUGAUGUGAAAGCCUUCGGCUCAACCGAAGAAGUGCAUCGGAAACUGGGAAACUUGAGUGCAGAAGAGGACAGUGGAACUCCAUGUGUAGCGGUGAAAUGCGUAGAUAUAUGGAAGAACACCAGUGGCGAAGGCGGCUGUCUGGUCUGUAACUGACGCUGAGGCUCGAAAGUAUGGGUAGCAAACAGGAUUAGAUACCCUGGUAGUCCAUACCGUAAACGAUGAAUGCUAAGUGUUGGAGGGUUUCCGCCCUUCAGUGCUGCAGCUAACGCAUUAAGCAUUCCGCCUGGGGAGUACGGCCGCAAGGCUGAAACUCAWAGGAAUUGACGGGGGCCCGCACAAGCGGUGGAGCAUGUGGUUUAAUUCGAAGCUACGCGAAGAACCUUACCAGGUCUUGACAUACUAUGCAAAUCUAAGAGAUUAGACGUUCCCUUCGGGGACAUGGAUACAGGUGGUGCAUGGUUGUCGUCAGCUCGUGUCGUGAGAUGUUGGGUUAAGUCCCGCAACGAGCGCAACCCUUAUUAUCAGUUGCCAGCAUUAAGUUGGGCACUCUGGUGAGACUGCCGGUGACAAACCGGAGGAAGGUGGGGAUGACGUCAAAUCAUCAUGCCCCUUAUGACCUGGGCUACACACGUGCUACAAUGGAUGGUACAACGAGUUGCGAACUCGCGAGAGUAAGCUAAUCUCUUAAAGCCAUUCUCAGUUCGGAUUGUAGGCUGCAACUCGCCUACAUGAAGUCGGAAUCGCUAGUAAUCGCGGAUCAGCAUGCCGCGGUGAAUACGUUCCCGGGCCUUGUACACACCGCCCGUCACACCAUGAGAGUUUGUAACACCCAAAGUCGGUGGGGUAACC
rnacentral:rRNA from 1 species